GACGAACGCUGGCGGCGUGCUUAACACAUGCAAGUCGAACGGAAAGGCCCUGCUUUUGUGGGGUGCUCGAGUGGCGAACGGGUGAGUAACACGUGAGUAACCUGCCCUUGACUUUGGGAUAACUUCAGGAAACUGGGGCUAAUACCGGAUAGGAGCUCCUGCUGCAUGGUGGGGGUUGGAAAGUUUCGUCGGUUGGGGAUGGACUCGCGGCUUAUCAGCUUGUUGGUGGGGUAGUGGCUUACCAAGGCUUUGACGGGUAGCCGGCCUGAGAGGGUGACCGGCCAAAUUGGGACUGAGAUACGGCCCAGACUCCUACGGGAGGCAGCAGUGGGGAAUAUUGCACAAUGGGCGGAAGCCUGAUGCAGCAACGCCGCGUGCGGAAUGACGGCCUUCGGGUUGUAAACCGCUUUCGCCUGUGACGAAGCGUGAGUGACGGUAAUGGGUAAAGAAGCACCGGCUAACUACGUG
rnacentral:rRNA from 1 species